rnacentral:rRNA from 1 species
CUACGGGGGGCUCCAGUGAGGAAUAUUGCACAAUGGAGGAAACUCUGAUGCAGCAACGCCGCGUGGAGGAUGACGCAUUUCGGUGUGUAAACUCCUUUUAUAUGUCAAGAAAAUGACGGUAGCAUAUGAAUAAGCACCGGCUAACUCCGUGCCAGCAGCCGCGGUAAUACGGAGGGUGCAAGCGUUACUCGGAAUCACUGGGCGUAAAGGACGCGUAGGCGGGAUAUCAAGUCAGGUGUGAAAUCCUACAGCUUAACUGUAGAACUGCACUUGAAACUGGUAACCUAGAGUAUGGGAGGGGGAGAUGGAAUUAGGGGUGUAGGGGUAAAAUCCGUAGAUAUCACUAGGAAUACCUAAAGCGAAGGCGAUCUCCUGGAACAUAACUGACGCUAAGGCGUGAAAGCGUGGGGAACAAACAGGAUUAGAUACCCCGGUAGUC